rnacentral:rRNA from 1 species
GGCAGCCAGUGGGGAAUUUUGGACAAAUGGACGCAAGGUCUGAUCCAGCCAUGCCGCUGUGCCGGUGAAGAAGGCCUUCGGGUUUGUAAAUCCGGCUUUAGUCAGGGAAGAAAAGUUUGGGGCGAAUAACCUCGGAUGAUGACGGUACCUGAAGAAUAAGCACCUGGCUUAACUUACGUUGCCAGCAGUCCGCGUGUAAUUACCGUAGGGUGCAAGCGGUAAUCGGCAAUUACUGGGCGUAAAGCGUGCGCAGGGCGGUUCUAUAAGGACACGAUUGUGAAAAUCCCCGGGCUCAAACCUGGGAAACUGGCAUUUGUGACUGUAGAGGCUUGGAAGUACGGCAAGAAGGGGGGAAUGGAAUUCC